GUGCCAGCAGCCGCGGUAAUACAGAGGGUGCGAGCGUUGUCCGGAAUUACUGGGCGUAAAGGGCGCGUAGGCGGCCCGAUAAGUCGGGGGUGAAAUUCAGCGGCUCAACCGCUGGACUGCCUUCGAGACUGUCAGGCUCGAGCACGGUAGAGGCUGGUGGAAUUCCCGGUGUAGCGGUGGAAUGCGUAGAGAUCGGGAAGAACAUCGGUGGCGAAGGCGGCCAGCUGGGCCGUUGCUGACGCUGAGGCGCGACAGCGUGGGGAGCAAACAGGAUUAGAUACCCGAGUAGUCC
rnacentral:rRNA from 1 species